rnacentral:tRNA from 1 species
GAGGGUGUAGCUCAGUGGUAGAGUGAGUGCUUACCCUGCACGAGGUCCUGGGUUCAAUCCCCAGUACCUCCA